CUGCAUCAGGAUACAUCGUUGGACCCAUCUCCUCUACAUCUAUCUCCUCCUCUUCCCCACUCACUUCCUCAGCCCCGGCGUAGCCCAACGUCUGCUGGACCUCAUCAACCACAUCCAACUCCUCGCUGGAGAUCUCCAUCUCCAAAUAUCCAUCCUCCAUUUUCUCCUCCACCUCUUGGAUGAUCACACUUCUCCUAUACGCCUCCACCACGGAUCCUUUCCCCUUUUCGGUCUUCUGUUUUGUCUCUGUAGAUGAGUCUGUUUCCCUCUCUCUGUUCUCCUUGGAAACCAGAUCUCUUCCUUCCUUGUUGCCUUUGUCGCUCCGAUGAGGAUCCACCAUGUCCUUUGUCCUUGUCAUCGAUAAGGUAACCAGCUCCUCUCGGAGUUUGAAAAAGUCUCCUGUCGCAUCCACGUUUUCCCCGUCUAAAACUUUUUCUGUGUUCUCAAAAUGUUCUCCAUCCUCAACGUUUUCUGUGUUCUCAAAAUGUUCUCCAUCCUCAACGUUUUCUCUUUCAGUCUCUUUGUAGAUGAGAUCUUGAUACUCCAUCUCCUGUCCACAAGUGCUGCUGUUGUGUCCUCCAUCUUUUUCCUCUGGAUGGUCGCUCUCUGUUCGGUUGGUCUGAUCGUCAUUAUCAACGGUUGGUCUAAUGGCCGACUCUCUUUCUAGAGGCUGGGAAGAACUUAUGUUUUUGUUCAUCAGUCUUGAUUCAUUUUGACCGUUGUCACUUUCGUUGGGUUUCAAUAAUUUUCUUUCACUUUGUUUCUGAACUUCAGUUUCACUUUCUUUUGUCUCCUUGCUUUUGGUGGACUUCUUCGUCUUUUGGUGCCUGUGCUUCAGGAGUUCUUGGAACUUCUUGAGACACACAGUGGGUGCCCGACCCUUGGAGGGGGUCCGCUUGACAGCAGGGGGUCUCAAUGGGUCUCUGUCUGAUUCAGUCUCUCCAGAUCUUUUUGGACUGGAGUUCUGUGGCUGACCCGACGGCUGGGGUUGCAGAAUGGUUCCGGUUCCAAUCCCUGAACAGUUGGUAGGAACUUGCUCUUCAUGGGUACUGGGGGAAGUUGUCUGCGGGCUAGGCUUUUGAGCAACUGUUUUAGAUUUAGACAGCACAGGUAGUCUCUGGAACAACUCUACUCUCUCUCCUUUGCCAUGUCCCUCCCUGAGCCUCACCCUUUUCCUGCACUUUCGCUUGUCGUCCUUUCCCUGUGGUUCCCCUCCUCCUUUCUCCUUUACCUGUGGGUCUCCUCCUUUCUCCUUUACCUGUGGGUCUCCUCCUUUCUCCUUUCCCUGAGGUUCUCCUCCUUUCUCCUUUCCUUGCGGUUCUCUUCCAUUUUUCUUUCUCUGCGGUUCUUCUCUUUUCUUUCUCUGCGGUACUCCUCCUUUUUCCCUCUCUGAGGUUCUCCUUCUCUUUUCGUUCUAUGCGAUUCUCCUUCUCUUUUCUUUCUCUGCAGUUCUCCUCCUCCUCCUUUCUUUCCCUGCAGUUCUCCUCCUCCUCUUUUCUUUCCCCGCGGUUCUCCUCUUUCCUUUCCCUGCGGUUCUCCUUCUCCUCUUUCCUUUCCCUGCGGUUCUCCUCUUUCCUUUCCCUGCGGUUCUGCGGUUCCUCUUUCCUUUCCCUGCUCUUUUC
ensembl:lncRNA